GGGCACUUUAGUGAGAGGGCACCAUGGGUUCCAGAGAUAGUGUUCUAGCUGGGGUCCUCCUGAAAUCAGAAGGAGCUGGGAUGAGGACUUCUACCUAGAUGGUUUAUUUGGCAGGUUGUCAAGGAGUGAGGAAGCAGUUAAGAAGGGAACACCAGUGCCAGGUGUGUUACCGAUGAUGCUGCUGUAGGCUGUGGAGUGCGGUUUCUCCAGGGCUGUCUGCAAAACACUCAGGAUGCUGCUGGCUGGAGGAACAUCACUGUAGGAGCAGCGCCCUUCCAAUGACAGAGAAAGCAGGGCCAUGUUGUGCAUGUUUGAGGCCGUGUUGUGCGUCAGUACGACCUGCACAUGAACUCCAGAGGAAAGGCCUGCCCAGGAUGUUGCUGCUGUUCUGGUACAGAAACAACUGGACGUCCUUAAACGCACAUGCCUUUCCAUGUAAUGUCUUGGCAACACGGAAAUGAGCGCUCAGAAUUGCCGCUGGCAGGGGUGCUGCUGGGUUCGCGUUUCUUUAUGCAAUGUGCCAUCUGUAGGAGAGAAAUUGAUUUUUUAAAAUAAAUGGGCUUUGUGUAAAAUGUAUACAUAUGUAUGGUGCCAUUAUUAGGCUUUGCAAAUGCCUUUCUCCCACUGAAGAACUGCCAGCACGCAGGGCUCCUCCACUGCGGAUACACAGGCACUCACCACUGGGGUUUGCAUGAGGAAGGAGGCAGGAAGUUUGUGACCCCUUUCACAACCUUCUGAACCCAUGAGCCUCAGAGAAGGGAGGGCGCUGGGUGGCCAUCUUACCUGAGAAGCAUUUAAUGGGGCUUUUCCAGGCAGGGAAAGAGCAGUGAAUGCUGUUCUGCUCUUGGACAAAGGCAGACAUAACCUGGAACAUUGAUAUUGAUAUGGGCACUGGGCCGGGUGCAGUGGCUCAUCCC